rnacentral:tRNA from 1 species
UUAAUAGAAGCCAAAACAGCGGCUAUUCACUGUUAAUGAAUAAAAUGACAUUUCCUAUUAAG